rnacentral:rRNA from 1 species
UUGCGUCCCAUUAGCUAGUUGGUGAGGUAACGGCCCACCAAGGCAAUGAUGGGUAGCCGGCCUGAGAGGGUGAACGGCCACAAGGGGACUGAGACACGGCCCUUACUCCUACGG